UACGAAGGGGGCUAGCGUUGCUCGGAAUUACUGGGCGUAAAGCGCGUGUAGGCGGCCAGGUAGGUCCGUUGUGAAAACCCGAGGCUUAACCUCGGGACGCCGACGGAAACCAUCUGGCUAGGGUCCGGAAGAGGAGAGUGGAAUUCCCGGUGUAGCGGUGAAAUGCGCAGAUAUCGGGAAGAACACCCGUGGCGAAGGCGGCUCUCUGGGACGGUACCGACGCUGAGACGCGAAAGCGUGGGGAGCGAACAGG
rnacentral:rRNA from 1 species